CCUACGGGUGGCAGCAGUGAGGAAUAUUGGUCAAUGGCCGGAAGGCUGAACCAGCCAUGCCGCGUGAAGGUCAGUGCCCCAUGGGCGUUAAACUUCUUUUGUGCGGGAGCAAUAAUGGUCACGUGUGGCCAGACGAGAGUACCGUACGAAUAAGCAUCGGCUAACUCCGUGCCAGCAGCCGCGGUAAUACGGGGGAUGCAAGCGUUAUUCGGGUUUAUUGGGUUUAAAGGGUGCGUAGGCUGUGAGGUAAGUCAGCGGUGAAAUGCCCGCGGUCAACGGGGUGGAGUGCCAUUGAUACUGGCUUGCUUGAAUGCGGAUGCGGUAGGAGGAAUGUGUGGUGUAGCGGUGAAAUGCAUAGAUAUCACACAGAACACCGAUUGCGAAGGCAUCUCACGAAUCCGCGAUUGACGCUGAUGCACGAAAGCGUGGGUAUCAAACAGGAUUAGAUACCCGAGUAGUC
rnacentral:rRNA from 1 species